UAGGGAAUCUUCGGCAAUGGACGAAAGUCUGACCGAGCAACGCCGCGUGAGUGAAGAAGGUUUUCGGAUCGUAAAACUCUGUUGUUAGAGAAGAACAAGGACGUUAGUAACUGAACGUCCCCUGACGGUAUCUAACCAGAAAGCCAGGGCUAACUACGUGCCAGCAGCCGCGGUAAUACGUAGGUGGCAAGCGUUGUCCGGAUUUAUUGGGCGUAAAGCGAGCGCAGGCGGUUUCUUAAGUCUGAUGUGAAAGCCCCCGGCUCAACCGGGGAGGGUCAUUGGAAACUGGGAGACUUGAGUGCAGAAGAGGAGAGUGGAAUUCCAUGUGUAGCGGUGAAAUGCGUAGAUAUAUGGAGGAACACCAGUGGCGAAGGCGGCUCUCUGGUCUGUAACUGACGCUGAGGCUCGAAAGCGUGGGGAGCAAACAGG
rnacentral:rRNA from 1 species